AUAUCAAGAAGAAAAAAGGCAAAUUUAUGGUGGAGUAGUUGGCACUAAGCAUCCCCCCUUGAAAUUUCAUUUGCUUCCAAUUAUAUUUUUCUUGUCUUAAAUAAGUAUAAGCUUUAUUUGGUAUUUUAGCACAUGAAGUUACAAUUGAUAUGAAAUUGCAACAAUCAAUUCAUAACAAUGAAUUAAAUGUUGAUGAUUAGCUUAUGUAGAGAAUGAUAGUAUGAGAUAGCUGAAUAAAACGUGUAUUUUGUAGGCAGUGUGGCUAGAAGGUAAUUUUAGUACAAUGGUGGAGUGCCUCACUUGUUUUUAAUUAGCGGAGCAUAGGAUUUGGGAGAUUUUUUUUAAUAUAUAUAUAUAUAUAUAUAUAUUAUUGUUCUUUGAGGUUAGGCAUAAUCAAAAGAUGCAUUUUUUUUAGUGAUUAUUUGAAUGUUGUAGAUGAUUAGAUGUAUAACUAAUAAUCCAUUUGUUGGUAGUGAAGGUGGAUUUUGAUAGUACAGUUCAUGUUGAUAGAGUGAGCAUGUCAUGUUCCAUUGUAGAAAGAAUAGGAAAACAUGAUACUUUGGUCUUCCAUCACUAUAGAAGGUCGACACCGUCUUCCUCGAAUUUUUUAAAUGUAGUUCCCGUCAUUCUUGCCGAGAUAUUCAUUCACCUCACCGGCAAUUGGCACCAAAGUGCUCGAGGCUUGCCCUUCUUUUUUGGGGCACAUGUGGCCCAAGAGCACGGGUCUGAAGUGGCACGAGCCGUUGGCCAUCCUAGCUAAAAA
rnacentral:lncRNA from 1 species